ensembl:snRNA U6 U6 spliceosomal RNA
GUGCUCACUUCAGUAGCAUAUAUACUAAAAUUGGAAUGAUACAGAGAAGAUUAGCAUGGCCCCGUGCAAGGAUGACAUGCAAAUUUGUAAAGUAUUCCAUAUUUUU